AUCCAGCUGACGAGUCCUAAAUAGGACGAAAUGCACAUCCUGGAU
rnacentral:hammerhead_ribozyme from 1 species